rnacentral:rRNA from 1 species
GACGAACGCUGGCGGCGUGCCUAAUACAUGCAAGUAGAACGCACAGUUUAUACCGUAGCUUGCUACACCAUAGACUGUGAGUUGCGAACGGGUGAGUAACGCGUAGGUAACCUGCCUGGUAGCGGGGGAUAACUAUUGGAAACGAUAGCUAAUACCGCAUAAUAUUGAUUAUUGCAUGAUAAUUAAUUGAAAGGUGCAAUUGCACCACUACCAGAUGGACCUGCGUUGUAUUAGCUAGUAGGUGAGGUAACGGCUCACCUAGGCGACGAUACAUAGCCGACCUGAGAGGGUGAUCGGCCACACUGGGACUGAGACACGGCCCAGACUCCUACGGGAGGCAGCAGUAGGGAAUCUUCGGCAAUGGACGAAAGUCUGACCGAGCAACGCCGCGGGAGUGAAGAAGGGUUUCGGAUCGUAAAGCUCUGUUGUAAGAGAAGAACGGGUGUGAGAGUGGAAAGUUCACACUGUGACGGUAUCUUACCAGAAAGAGACGGCUAACUACGUG